AGGGUUCGAUUCUGGCUCAGGAUGAACGCUAGCGGCAGGCUUAACACAUGCAAGUCGAGGGGUAACGGGGCGUAGCAAUACGCUGCCGACGACCGGCGCACGGGUGCGUAACGCGUAUGCAACCUACCUGUAACAGGGGGAUAACGGAGAGAAAUUUCCACUAAUACCCCGUAUGGUUAGGGGAUCGCAUGGUUCUUUAACGAAAGCUUCGGUGGUUACGGAUGGGCAUGCGUGACAUUAGGUAGUUGGUAAGGCAACGGCUUACCAAGCCGACGAUGUCUAGGGGAGCUGAGAGGCUCGAACCCCCACACUGGUACUGAGACGCGGACCAGACUCCUACGGGAGGCAGCAGUGAGGAAUAUUGGUCAAUGGAGGGAACUCUGAACCAGCCAUGCCGCGUGGGGGGAAAAGAAGGCCCUAUGGGUUGUAAACCUCUUUUGACGUGGGGCAAUAAGGGUCUUGCGAGGCCUGAUGAGAGUACACGUCGAAUAAGCAUCGGCUAACUCCGUGCCAGCAGCAGC
rnacentral:rRNA from 1 species